CCUACGGGAGGCUGCAGUAGGGAAUAUUGCUCAAUGGGGGAAACCCUGAAGCAGCAACGCCGCGUGGAGGAUGAAGGUUUUCGGAUUGUAAACUCCUUUUGUUAGAGGAGAUAAUGACGGUAUCUAACGAAUAAGCACCGGCUAACUCCGUGCCAGCAGCCGCGGUAAUACGGAGGGUGCAAGCGUUACUCGGAAUCACUGGGCGUAAAGGGCGCGUAGGCGGGAUAGCAAGUCAGAUGUGAAAUCCUAUGGCUUAACCAUAGAACUGCAUUUGAAACUGUUAUUCUAGAGUAUGGGAGAGGUAGGUGGAAUGCUUGGUGUAGGGGUAAAAUCCGUAGAGAUCAAGAGGAAUACUCAUUGCGAAGGCGACCUGCUAGAACAUAACUGACGCUGAUGCGCGAAAGCGUGGGGAGCAAACAGGAUUAGAUACCCCAGUAGUC
rnacentral:rRNA from 1 species